GAGUCCGUCCCUCUGAAGCUCCUCUGUGUGGGGAACAUGACAGCAGGACCAAAGCUCAGAGGACCCAUCAGAGACCAGGACCUGCACCUGAUCCUCAACCUGGUCCGGUGUCUGGACCUGCACCCAGCUGUGUGUCCAUGAAGAGUAACCGGUCUACGGAUGCUCCU